rnacentral:tRNA from 1 species
GUGGCCGAGUGGUUAACGCGAUGGACUAGAAAGCCAUUGCGGUCUCCCCGCAUAGGUUCGAAUCCUGUC